rnacentral:rRNA from 1 species
AGCGAACGCUGGCGGCAGGCCUAACACAUGCAAGUCGAACGGACCCUUCGGGGUUAGUGGCGGACGGGUGAGUAACACGUGGGAACGUGCCUUUAGGUUCGGAAUAGCUCCUGGAAACGGGUGGUAAUGCCGAAGGUGCCCUUCGGGGGAAAGAUUUAUCGCCUUUAGAGCGGCCCGCGUCUGAUUAGCUAGUUGGUUGAGGUAACGGCUCACCAAGGCGACGAUCCGUAGCUGGUCUGAGAGGAUGGCCAGCCACAUUGGGACUGAGACACGGCCCAAACUCCUACGGGAGGCAGCAGUGGGGAAUCUUGCGCAAUGGGCGAAAGCCUGACGCAGCCAUGCCGCGUGAAUGAUGAAGGUCUUAGGAUUGUAAAAUUCUUUCACCGGGGACGAUAAUGACGGUACCCGGAGAAGAAGCCCCGGCUAACUUCGUGCCAGCCGCCGCAGUAACAC